rnacentral:SRP_RNA from 1 species
GGGCAAGCUAGGCUGGUGCAUUAGCCCUGUACUGUAACCGUCAACGGGCUUUACGACGGGGCCGAAGUCUUGGAAGAGGUAUGGAUUAUGGUUAUUGGUCCUGUCUCGGACGUCGACGCUUUGUCCUCUUUGACCAGUGUCUUAAUGAACCAGGUCAGGGUGGGAACACAGCAGCCUUAAGUUUUGAUAUUGGUGCUUAGGGGGUCGCGAAGCUGAGGAAGAGAUAGGGGUUACUGGUAAUCAUAGCCCAUAUCCAUUCCAGGAUGUGCUUGCCU